UAAUUGUGACUUUUCAUUUUAAAACAAAACACCUAUAAAUAUGAAUAAUGGUGACCUUUUUUGUAUAAAUUUACAUAUAUGAAUAGAAUUUUUUAUUUUUAUUUCCACAAUCAUUUUUUUUUCUCGUCUAUUCACCCACAUUUAUUACAAAAUUACCAAAUAUCGCCAUUCACUUAAAAUCUAACCAGCCACCCUAUGGUGGUGUUUGGGAAGGAAAGUUGAGGCUAAAUUAGCCACAUGUGGACAAAAGAGGCUUAUUUAGCCACAUGACGACAAAAACGCUUGAACAAGUUGGAGAGGAACCCUUCUUCGGGUAAAUUUACCAAAAUACCCUGAAAUAUCCCUCUGAUUCAUUUCGCCCAACGCCUCACCACACACACAACCUUCCUAGGGCACAGAAGAAGCGAAUGAGGCGAUUAAUGGCAACCAGCGGCGACGACGUGUGAGGCAGCUUCGCAGAGGCGAUCUGCACUGAAGUACCCAUCUGCGACGGCGAAGACAACUCGCGAACAGGUCGGCAAAUCGAAUGGUUGGGGCGUACGUUGGCAGCGGCGAACAAGAACGAACCCUCUCAAGCACCGCCGAUCUUCAGAUAAAUCAAGCAGUCUUGAAGAGACACAGAAUCAGUUCAGCCACAAGGCCUCAUGGGAUAGUGACUCAAUUCUAGUUUUCCUACAGCUGAUUGCAAAUGAGAUUACAAAAGGAAAUCGACCAUUCUUAGUCCUCAGCCAAGCAGGGUACAAGUCCUUUGCAAAGAAAUUUGAGAAAAAAACAGGAAGAAAGCAUGGCCUCAAACAGUUGAAGAAUAAAUACAUGAGUUUGAAAAAAGUGGCAAGCGUGGACAAAGUUGAUGGAUUCAAGCAAAGGAGUGUCAGGGAUAGAGUUUGACAGUGACACCAGUAUGUUUCAGGCACCUGAGGAGUGGUGGGAUAAGAUGGAAUCAAUAAACAAGGUGUGUGCCAAGUUCAGGAAAAAAACUCUGGAACAUCGUGACUUGAUAGAGACGGUCUUCAUGGGGGCAUCUGCUACUGGUAAGCACCAUUGGACACCGGAAGAGAAAUUUGCUGAAGAGGCCGAUGACUAAUCUGAUUCUGUGCGUAGUCUGAGAGCGUAGCCAUUUGCUGAUCCGAUACCUGCAAGAGUACAGGACGUAGAUUCAGAUUCUUCACUGGAACCAGUUGUGGUUGAAAAGGGAAAAAGGAGAAAGACGCCAUCAACAAGUGUUUCAAAGUCCAAGAAGGCAACAAGUGGAGCGUCUGUUAUUGCAGAAAUCAUGAACAAUCUAACAGAUGUGGUGCGUACCAAAAAUCAGCAGGUCACGGUGAGGCACCUCACAGGUAACGAAUCGAUGUACACUAUCUCAGAGCGCAUGCAUCGCCUGCUGACUAUUCCAUCCCUUGUUGGUACGUCGCUAUUUCAUUUCGCCUUGACCCUUAUGGAUAACGCAGAUUACCAGGAGGUGAUGAUGUGUUAGCCUAAUGAUGACCACAUUAUAAGGUGGCUUACACAGAAGUAGCUCUAGUGUAUUGCGUCGGCGUCAUUUGUGAACCUUUUUGGGGCUCGCCGGAUGUGUGUAGACGUGCCCCGAGAACUCCCGAGAGAAUCUCGUUUUGUUCUUUAGCUACUACAGUUCGGACUCAAAUGUCACGAUUCUGAAUCUAAUCCCACAAAGUACAAUGCAA